rnacentral:rRNA from 1 species
AGUGAACGCUGGCGGUAGGCCUAACACAUGCAAGUCGAACGGCAGCACAGUAAGAGCUUGCUCUUACGGGUGGCGAGUGGCGGACGGGUGAGGAAUACAUCGGAAUCUACUUUUUCGUGGGGGAUAACGUAGGGAAACUUACGCUAAUACCGCAUACGACCUACGGGUGAAAGCAGGGGAGCUUCGGACCUUGCGCGAUUGAAUGAGCCGAUGUCGGAUUAGCUAGUUGGCGGGGUAAAGGCCCACCAAGGCGACGGUCCGUAGCUGGUCUGAGAGGAUGAUCAGCCACACUGGAACUGAGACACGGUCCAGACUCCUACGGGAGGCAGCAGUGGGGAAUAUUGGACAAUGGGCGCAAGCCUGAUCCAGCCAUACCGCGUGGGUGAAGAAGGCCUUCGGGUUGUAAAGCCCUUUUGUUGGGAAAGAAAAGCAGCAGGUUAAUACCCCGCUGUUCUGACGGUACCCAAAGAAUAAGCACCGGCUAACUUCGUG